AGCAUAGUCUGUAUUAUUUAAUCACUUCUUUAGCUUCCAGAUGGACAAAACAUGUCAAAGAAGUUGUAGAUUCUCAAUAUAAAGAAAGGAGAAUUGACCUACCUGUUGACUCAGCUUUGUGGUUACAACAUUUCAAAUCUCAAAAUUCUUCACUGCUCGAAGAACUUGAUUUACGAGUUUCAAAAUCCUACACUUGGAGUAAAAGAGAAGUUACUGAAGCAGGAGCUCCUCUUACAGAUGUUAUUGAACAUGGUAUUGAAAGAGUAAGACAUGCUUCUGAUUGUGUAGCAGUACUCCUUAAAGAAAUUAAACUUCUUUCACAGUCUGGCAGGUUCAAAACUGCAGUUGUGGUUGAUGGUGUAAAUGCUUUCUUUU